rnacentral:rRNA from 1 species
GACGAACGCUGGCGGCGUGCCUAAUACAUGCAAGUAGAACGCUGAAGGAGGAGCUUGCUUCUCUGGAUGAGUUGCGAACGGGUGAGUAACGCGUAGGUAACCUGCCUGGUAGCGGGGGAUAACUAUUGGAAACGAUAGCUAAUACCGCAUAAUAGUAGAUGUUGCAUGACAUUUGCUUAAAAGGUGCAAUUGCAUCACUACCAGAUGGACCUGCGUUGUAUUAGCUAGUUGGUGAGGUAACGGCUCACCAAGGCGACGAUACAUAGCCGACCUGAGAGGGUGAUCGGCCACACUGGGACUGAGACACGGCCCAGACUCUUACGGGAGGCAGCAGUAGGGAAUCUUCGGCAAUGGACGGAAGUCUGACCGAGCAACGCCGCGUGGGUGAAGAAGGUUUUCGGAUCGUAAAGCUCUGUUGUAAGAGAAGAACGAGUGUGAGAGUGGAAAGUUCACACUGUGACG